UACGUAGGGUGCGAGCGUUAAUCGGAAUUACUGGGCGUAAAACGUGCGCAGGCGGUUCGUUAUGUCCGAUGUGAAAGCCCCGAGCUUAACUUGGGAAUGGCAUUGGAAACUGGCGGGCUGGAGUGCGGCAGAGGGGGGUGGAAUUCCACGUGUAGCAGUGAAAUGCGUAGAUAUCAGGAGGAACACCGAUGGCGAAGGCAGGUCUCUGGGCUGACACUGACGCUCAUGCACGAAAGCGUGGGGAGCAAACAGG
rnacentral:rRNA from 1 species